GCUGUUAGAUCAAUUGUGAUAUUGUUCAUUUCUGUGGAGCGGGUUGUGGCAUCCUACUUUCCAAUUUUUUUCCACAAUCAUCGAAAGUUCCGAUUUAAAGUGUUCAUAAUGAUUUUAGCUGUUUUCUAUGGGCUCACCGAAGAUAUUGUGCUCUAUGUGUUUUGCGACUUUCAACUUAAACUAGUCCCAAAUUGUGUAGCAUUUGGUUGUACUAUCAAUGCAUGCUAUCAUCAAUAUUGGAUCACUCACAGAAUGACAGUUUUCGCGUUGAUGUUUUUAUUUUCAAUAUUCUUGGCCUCAAAAUUAUUUAUGCUCAGGAAAAGCAAAAAUGUUGGGAAGAACGAGCAAUUUAGAAUGAACCGUCUCGCGUUAAUUGACAUUGGCAAUGUAACUCUUUUCGAGUUUUUUCCAAUUUUCCUCGCAAACCAGCUCUCUAAAUAUUUUAAUUUUAAAAGCCUUGGGCCAUAUGGAAUAUCAAUAAAAAUGCUGGGAUGCGCUGUGGAAGCUGUAUUGAUGCUCUAUAUUUUGAAAGGCAAAAAACGGCGUGGAUCGGAGAGAAGCAACUCGAAAAUAGCAAGCGGGAAAACUAAUUGUAUUCUUGUAAAAUCAGCGUAAAAGU
rnacentral:misc_RNA from 1 species